AUACGUAGGUGACAAGCGUUAUCCGGAUUUACUGGGUGUAAAGGGCGUGUAGGCGGUUUAGCAAGUCAGAAGUGAAAUUCCCGGGCUUAACUUGGGCGCUGCUUCUGAAACUGCUUUACUUGAGUGCUGGAGAGGAUAGUGGAAUUCCUAGUGUAGCGGUAAAAUGCGCAGAUAUUAGGAGGAACACCGGUGGCGAAGGCGGCUAUCUGGACAGUAACUGACGCUGAGGCGCGAAAGCACGGGGAGCAAACAGGAUUAGAUACCCUGGUAGUCCGUGCCGUAAACGAUGAAUACUAGGUGUAGGGGGUACCGACUCCCUCUGUGCCGCAGUUAACACAUUAAGUAUUCCACCUGGGGAGUACGGCCGCAAGGUUGAAACUCAAAUGAAUUGACGGGG
rnacentral:rRNA from 1 species